UGGGGAAUUUUGGACAAUGGGGGAAACCCUGAUCCAGCCAUCCCGCGUGUGCGAUGAAGGCCUUCGGGUUGUAAAGCACUUUUGGCAGGAAAGAAACGUCAUGGGUUAAUACCCCGUGAAACUGACGGUACCUGCAGAAUAAGCACCGGCUAACUACGUGCCAGCAGCCGCGGUAAUACGUAGGGUGCAAGCGUUGAUCGGAAUUACUGGGAGUAAAGCGUGCGCAGGCGGUUCGGAAAGAAAGAUGUGAAAUCACAGAGCUCAACUUUGGAACUGCAUAUUUAACUACCGGGCUAGAGUGUGUGAGAGGGAGGUGGAAUUCCGCGUGUAGCAGUGAAAUGCGUAGAUAUGCGGAGGAACACCGAUGGCGAAGGCAGCCACCUGGGAUAACACUGACGCUCAUGCAAGAAAGCGUGGGGAGCAAACAGG
rnacentral:rRNA from 1 species